GAUCCUGGCUCAGGACGAACGCUGGCGGCGUGCUUAACACAUGCAAGUCGAACGAGGAUCAUUUAGAAGCUUGCUUCCGGGUGAUUCGAGUGGCGGACGGGUGAGUAACGCGUGAGGAACCUGUCUCAUACAGGGGGAUAACGCAUCGAAAGAUGUGCUAAUACCGCAUAGGACCACGGCAUCGCAUGGUGCAGAGGUGAAAGGAGGAAUCCGGUAUGAGGUGGACUCGCGUCUGAUUAGAUAGUUGGUGAGGUAACGGCCCACCAAGUCAACGAUCAGUAGCCGACCUGAGAGGGUGAUCGGCCACAUUGGGACUGAGACACGGCCCAGACUCCUACGGGAGGCAGCAGUGGGGAAUAUUGGGCAAUGGGCGCAAGCCUGAACCCCCAGCAACGCCGCGUGAGGGAAGAAGGUUUUCGGAUUGUAAACCUCUGUCCUAUGCGAAGAGUGAGAGACGGUAGCAUAGGAGGAAGCCCCGGCUAACUACGUGCCAGCCGCCGC
rnacentral:rRNA from 1 species